UACGGAGGGUGCAAGCGUUAAUCGGAAUUACUGGGCGUAAAGCGUACGUAGGCGGCUUAUUAAGUCGGAUGUGAAAGCCCUGGGCUCAACCUGGGAACUGCAUCCGAUACUGGUAGGCUAGAGUUAGUGAGAGGGUAGUGGAAUUCCUAGUGUAGCGGUGAAAUGCGUAGAUAUUAGGAGGAACAUCAGUGGCGAAGGCGACUGCCUGGCACAUAACUGACGCUGAGGUACGAAAGCGUGGGGAGCAAACAGG
rnacentral:rRNA from 1 species